GGGGCUCGAGGCCGGGGAAGGGGGGAAAGGUGGUCCUAGUUCCCCCAUGCAGUGGCACACCAAGCUGACGCUGGCCUCCUGCGGAGACGCCUCAGCGCCCUCCUGCAGACCUCACGCCCCCCCACCCCCAGGAACCCCGGCCCUGGCCUGGUCUAGCGAGUCCCCCCUCCUCCCCGGGAGCAGCCGGUGAAGCUCCGGUGGAGGAAGCGAGGAGGAGACCCAGGAGGAGGAUGCCGCUGCCGCCGCCGCCGCCGCCGCCGCCGCCGCUGCAGGGCCCAGGGCUCCUGUAGGGCACGAGGCCUCCCACAUCAGGGUCCCUCCCACCCGCCCUCCUGGGAGCGCAGAGACUCCGUCCGGAUGGAGGUGGGGAAGCCAGUCCAGCCAAGGAACCGGAGUUCGCGGCGCAGAGGGGAGGAGCGUGGCCCCCAGGCUCACCCCUGGGGUCGCAGGACCCGGCGAGCGGAGAUCCACGCGGCCAGCGUCACCCACCCGAGCCUGGCGACGGGCGCGUCCAGGCGAGCUCCGCGGGGCCGAGGUGCCGGGAGAAGGAGCCCCGGGCGCCCGCGCACUGCCCGCCGAGGGGAACCAGAAAUGCCGCGCCUCGGGGUCGAAGUCAUAAAGUUACUAAUCCCGCGCAGGGGGAGCAAGCGUGCCUCGGGCCGCCUGGGGCGGUCAUUUGAGCGUGUUUACUUAAGGACUUUGCAAGCGGAGCGCGCGCGAAAUAGUCGGAUUUCCAGCGAGGCAGCAAAUAUUUGCAGGCGGGAGAAAGAAGCGGAGCCGGGCCGCGCCGUUAAAGACAGAAAUGAAGCCGGAACCUGCGGGGCUGGGGGCGGGGAGGGCACAGAGCGACAGCAAAGGCCAGAAAUUGGAGCGCGGCCCCGAGGCCCUUGCGAGCCGGGGCUGGAGGAGGAGAAAUCCCUCCCCAUUCCAGCUCGAUCAAUCUUCCUUGGCUGUGAUCGCUCAAUAAAAAUGGUGUGAACCGGCCGCGGUCGCUGUGCGUCUGGGGAGGAAGUAGAGGCCAGAGGUGCCGAGGCCGGCGCCGGCACCCCGCACCAGCCCGGUUCGCGGCAGGGCGGUCUGCAAGGCUUAGGCGGCCGGGAGCCGAGGGCGGCCCGGGGGGCCUUUAAUUGGUUGUCUCCAUUUUAAUAGUGGCCAUUGUUGGAGCAAUUAGCGAGAGACAAUAACCGCCAAGAGGCGUUUAAUUCGAUUCGGUGCCCCGGCUGCGGCCGGGACAAGGGCGCUCUGGAAGCAUAGGCUGGCUGGGGAGGGAAGAUCGAGUUAAGCGCCGGCUCUCUUGCUCGCCAGUUUUGUCUUAGGUGUGGGAGUUAUACUGGGGCAAGUUGAAAGCGGAGCGAGAGCUACCAGGUCCUGCUCCUGGACAGAGGAAACCCGUCCUGGGCCUCGCUAGCCCCGCAAGGCGCCCCCGGGGCCGCCGCGCCUGCUGGCAGCACGCGCCUAAACUGCGGCCAUUGCGCGCGUCCCCAACGCCUGUUGGAGGGAAAAAAGCAGAGGGGACAGGGACGUGGAAAUCGAUCUCCUUCCUCCCGAGCCCCGGGACUGCACCUCGAUCACCCGAACCGCGUCCCAAUUUCUUUCCCCAUCGGAGGAGGUGGGGCAAAGGAGAGAACGCUCUUCUGGCGCGUGCACACCUCCCUCUCCACCGAGCCAGGCAGUACCCCCACCUCUGCCUGGGCCCUCGGAUUAGGUUACCGUGGCCGGGCGAGGAUUUUUACUGGAUACGAGAAUAGCGCAGGUAAAGCUGUAUAAACAGCUCGCCGGCUGCCGGGCGGGAGGGUUACGCAGGGGACACGGCCCACGGCGCCACCGCCGGGCCAGGGCUGCGCGGGCGAAGCGGCGGGAGAGCACAAUUAUGUUAUGCUCAGGGUAAACAGAUUAUAUUAUGUCUCUGCAGUCCCCACCCGAGCCCCCGUCUCUUUCCCGCAUGAGCUGAAAUGAAGAGAAGGGAGCGAAAUCAAAAGGUGAUGAGAAAGAAGCCGGCGUUCGGCAGUGCUCGCUGCUCUCUUAAGAUGAAACAGUGGACGUGGGGGAACGCAGAGAAAAGAGGGCCCCCCGAAACUCACUGGCAAAGGGAAGAUUCUGGAGGUGGAAACGUCAAAGGGGAAGCCCGCGGGAACUCAGGCGAAAAGAGCUCGGCACGCGCGCCUCUCUUCCCGGCUCCCACGCCUACCAGCCCCUGGCCUGGGGUCUCCCUGCCCUGGGAAAUGAGCCAUCGCUUUGGGGGUGGUAUGUGGUUUGAUUUACCUUCCCCCCUCCCUUAUUCAUCUAUCACUGUUUAAAACUCGGAAGGAAACCCUCUCGGGCCUGGAGGGGCAGCGAGAGAUGGGGAGUCAGAGACAAGAGAUGCGCUCCGAGAUUACCCCCUCCCGCCCCCGCCCCACCGCCAGCCUGGGACCUCCAGCUUCGAGCGAUCCUGGCCCUCCCUCUGCCGCUACCCCCAUUCUCCCCGGUUGAGAAAAACCCUGAUGGUAUCGAGAUAAAAAUUGGGUAGGUAGGGGUGUAGCGGGAAGGAGGAGAGAGAGGGAGAAGACAGGGGAUUUCUGCUUUCGGGUUUAAUAGGGCCCCUGUCAAGGGGCCUUGGCAAAGGGGGGAGCCCCGCGGUUGGGUAGGAAAGAACGAUUCCCCCUUGAGGGUGAGUCGAAAGGAAUGCCAGGCGCCCUGGAGGAAGAUGCACCUCCCAGCUCUCUCUCCCUCGUGGUCUGGGGGACAGGUGAGAGGCACAAGAGGAGAGGAAGCGAUGGAGGCGGCGCUCCAGCGGGUCCGCGCGGUGCCUCCCGGCCCCAGGCCGCUUAUCUGGCCCCCAGCGGCACCGCCGACUCUCAGGAAGGCGCUCUCCUCCCCGGGGGUCCUCAGGCGGCACCGCUGAAGCGUCUGGGACUCCCAGGGAUGGGAGCGGCCACCGCAGCCAGGAAAGUGGUCAGAAGUACGAGGUCACCCGUGUGAACUCCAGGCCCUAGCAUUUUUUGGGGCGAAGAGGGGUGCACGUGGGGCGCCUGCUCCACUCCCCGUAGCCUCGCGGGGCUCCUGGCUUGUCGCCCGCCGCCUCGCCGCCUCCCAGCUCAGAGCCCCCAGCUCCGAGCCCCGAGCGCUUGCUUCAGCCCUUCAGGCGACUCGCCUCGGGUCACUUCAGUGUGGCAUUUCAGGAGCCGGAGGGCUUUAACUAGGGGCUAUUGUGUUUUUACUUCUCUUGAUAAGCCGGAAAACUGGGGUGUGAUGGUUGCUGGACAAUGGACUGCGGGCUUCAAGGGAACAGGGAGUUCACAACAGGGAGAGGGGCAAUGAGAGAGGGUCGUUUCGUUCAGAUCAGGAGACAGUAGCGGCGAGGUUCUAAAAGCACGAAUUGUCAUUUGUUCCUUUGGACACGCUGGAGACCCGAUGGGGAAAUCUGUGCGUCUGCCCGCCUCAGAGGUGUCAAGAAGCCACCUUCCCGCGGGCCCCCUCCGCCUCUCCAUCCCUCCAGGACUGCACCCUGCCGGCCGUCUCUCCCCGCCAGGCCCCGGCUCGCGCUCGGCUCGCCGCCGCCUGCCACCUCGUGGAGCCCAAGCAAUUUGUUACAUAAAACAAAACAGCAGCCACACACAUGUGCCUGCAGACCCGCAGCGACGGACACCCAGGGAGACCUCCGGUCAAGCGCCUCGGGCCCCGUGUUUCUUUCUGUCCGUCUAAGGGCCGCAUCCACCGCCACCACCUGUGGUCGCAUCUGCCCGGCGACCAGAAGCGAAGGCAGUUCGGACUCGCGCUCCCGGGCUUGCUGGCCCACUCGCGGCGUUGCCAACCCUCUCUCCGCUGACUCCGACCGUUGAGAAAAAGAGGGGAUCAGAAAUAUUUGGUGCGCGCACAAAGACGUACCACGAAAGGCAUGCACAUUUCUACGUGAAAUGGCUCAGAUGCGAGAAUGAGACACCGCCUCAGUGCAGCCAGCCCAGAAAUGGUUAGAAUAACCUGGUGCUGGAGAACACUGGGCUUCCGAACUCUGCCCCCAUACAUCUUAUCAGGACCCCGAAUUCCCUGCCGCUUCCCACGUUCCCCGACACAAGCUGCCUUAACCUCCAGGAGAGGGAUUCUCAGCCACCCGGCUCCCACGUACCUGCCCCCUCCCCAGGCUCUCUGUGUCACUCUGGGCUGGGGGGCUCCCAAAAGAGGCUCCACCACUGAGUGUCCAGGGGCAGCCACUCCCAUCUCUUCACUGCACCCCGACUUACCCCCACCUCGUGUAACACCUGCGAAAAGGCAGGGUGGAAAUAUCAAAUAAAGGAAAAUGCAG
ensembl:lncRNA